rnacentral:rRNA from 1 species
AAUGUGGGACAAUGGGGGCAACCCUGAUCCAGCCAUGCCGCGUGUGUGUAUAAGGUCUUCGUAUUGUAAAGCACUUUAAGUUGGGAGGAAGGGCAUUAGGUUAUUACCCUGAAGUUUUGACGUUACCAACAGAAUAAGCACUGGCUAGCUCUGUGCCAGCAGCCGCGGUAAUACAGAGGGUGUAAGCGUUAAUCGGAAUUACUGGGCGUAAAACGCGCGUAGGUGGUUCAGUAAGAUGGGUUUGAAAUCCCCGGGCUUAGCCUGGGAACUGCUUUCAUAACUGCUGAGCUAGAGGGCGGUAGAGGGUAGUGGAAUUCCCUGUGUAGCGGUGAAAUGCGUAGAUAUAGGAAGGAACACAAGUGGCGAAGGCGACUACCUGGACUGAUACUGACACUGAGGUGCGAAAGCGUGGGGAGCAAAC